GAAAAAAAAAUGGGCUAAAUUGAGCUGAAAAUGUGCACGAUUCAAGACGCCCUAAUCUGAGCGUGUGCAGUGGCAUUCAUGGAGCAUAAACACACAACAGAACCGCUGACGGAUGAGUUAAAAAUAGCAGCUCUGAGAGAACAUUCCUCUUUUAGUUAAGUUAAACAGCCGCAGGAUGAACCUUUGCCAGGGAUUUCACGCUGCCCCUCUCGUCUCAUGGUGACUGCAGAUGGUGCACACAUGACAUCACCUGCUGCCUCCGCCAGCAGCGUCUGCUCCACUACAACGGGCCGAUUCAUGCAGACAUCACAGUCUUUUCACAGCGAUACAGAUGUGAGUGAGGUUAAUAUCACACCUGGACGAUUUCUGAAGAGUCAGGUAAAACGACUUUUUCUUGGCUGCAGUGACUUCCUGAAGUCUUGUCACCACAGUGAGGUUGCCAGGAAACCAGCGGACACGGCAAGAAGUUCUGCACAUAACUCCCCACUGAACCACAGCACAUCGCUGCCGAACUUGAAUGGACCAAACAAACAUAUACGUAAGCUUUGGUCGUGAUGGCCUCGCUCUCCUCGCUGUACUCGCUGUCCCCGAUGUCGUUGGUGGCUUUUACUCUGAACUGGUAGGACGUGAAGGGCUUCAGCCUGACGAGGAGGAAGCAUAGGGAAGCACAUCAACCUGGAUGAUAAACUACAGCGCCGGAUCUUAAGCCUUUUUUUAAGCCUCAGACAUCAAAAGAGAAAUGUAGUCUCGCCGCGGGAGCUACAUGUUUCUUUACAAGCAAACUACAAGGCGCACAUUUCAGCUGAACACAGUCCUUAAUGCUGUCUGCUGCGUCGGCUGAGCGUCAUUUCUAAUUCCCUUAUAUGUUUGUGACUAGUUUAUACGGUUGUUUAUGUCCUUCAGCAGACUGUAAUACCCUGGAAACAUCCAUAUGAGGAUAUUGCUUAUUUGCCAAGUAAACAAGAGCCAUGGGAAUAUUUAGUGAAUGUAGCAGUGGAGACUGUGAGAAGAUAAAGUGUUGUUUUAUUUAGUAUCAUCCUCUAAAGAGAACAAAUCUGCUGCAAAAAACCCCCCCCAAAAAGCUAGAG